AAAAGAACUUUGAAGAGAGAGUUCAACAGUACGUGAAACCGCCUAGAGGUAAACGGGUGGAUCCGCAAAGUCGGUCCGCGAAAUUCAGCUCGGAAGGCUGGUCGCAGGCGGUAGGUCGAGAUCUCUUGCGGACUCUCCUGCCGCUUGUACGCUGGCUCGACGUGUGCACUUUUCGCGGGCAGAGCGCCACGACCGGUUUUUGGGCAGUCAGAAGGCGACGAGGAAGGUAAGUGGGCGCUUCGGCGUUUACUGUUAUAGCCUCGCCUGUCCCGAUCUGCUCGAAGACCGAGGAGCCGCCGCUUGGCAACGGGCUAUCCUGCUCUCCUCGGGGGUUCGACAGGCAGAGACUGGGAGACCGUGUCUGCCGACCGCCUCUGCGGACGGAUGGGGGUGCUGUUAGUCCGCCAAGCAUAGGGUCGGUGGCGAAUCGGUCGGCACUCCACCCGACCCGUCUUGAAA
rnacentral:rRNA from 1 species